rnacentral:rRNA from 1 species
AGAGUUUGAUCAUGGCUCAGGAUGAACGCUAGCGGCAGGCUUAACACAUGCAAGUCGAGGGGUAACGGGGAAGCUUGCUUCCGCCGACGACCGGCGCACGGGUGCGUAACGCGUAUACAAUCUACCUUAUACUGGGGUAUAGCCUUUAGAAAUGAAGAUUAAUCCCCCAUAGACUCUUAGAGUGGCAUCACUUCUAGAGUAAAGGUUACGGUAUAAGAUGAGUAUGCGUUCUAUUAGUUUGUUGGUGUGGUAACGGCACACCAAGACUACGAUAGAUAGGGGCCCUGAGAGGGGGAUCCCCCACACUGGUACUGAGACACGGACCAGACUCCUACGGGAGGCAGCAGUGAGGAAUAUUGGACAAUGGAGGCAACUCUGAUCCAGCCAUGCCGCGUGUAGGAUGACUGCCCUAUGGGUUGUAAACUACUUUUAUACAGGAAGAAACCCCGCUACGUGUAGCGGUUUGACGGUACUGUAAGAAUAAGGAUCGGCUAACUCCGUGCCAGCAGCCGCGGUAAUACGGAGGAUCCAAGCGUUAUCCGGAAUCAUUGGGUUUAAAGGGUCCGUAGGUGGAUAAUUAAGUCAGAGGUGAAAUCUUGCAGCUCAACUGUAAAAUUGCCUUUGAUACUGGUUAUCUUGAGUUAUUAUGAAGUAGUUAGAAUAUGUAGUGUAGCGGUGAAAUGCAUAGAUAUUACAUAGAAUACCAAUUGCGAAGGCAGAUUACUAAUAAUCAACUGACACUGAUGGACGAAAGCGUGGGUAGCGAACAGGAUUAGAUACCCUGGUAGUCCACGCCGUAAACGAUGGUUACUAGCUGUUUGGACCUUGUGUCUGAGUGGCUAAGCGAAAGUGAUAAGUAACCCACCUGGGGAGUACG